AUGANCCAUACUGGUCCAUACUGGGUUAUACUGGGGCAUACUGGUACAUUCCAGUCCAUACUGGGCCAUACUGGUCCAUACUGGGCCAUACUGGGAGGCACUGAGGCCAUACUGGGAGUAAUGGGAGGAGACUGGGCCAUACUGAGUCAUACUGGGUUAUACUGGGCCAUACUGGGAGGGGGCUGGUCCAUACUGGGUUAUACUGGGUUAUACUGGGAGCGCUGUGCCAUACUGGGACCAUACUGUGAGGGGACUGGGCCAUACAGGUCUAUACUGGGCAAUAAUGGGAGGGGUCUGGGCCAUACUGGGCAAUACUGGGAGGGGACUGGUCCAUACUGGGUUAUACUUGGCCAUAUUGGUCCAUACUGGGUUAUACUGGUCCAUACUGGGCCAUACUGGGAGGCAAUGAGGCCAUACUGGGCUAUUCUGGGCCAUACUGGGCUAUUCUGGGCCAUACUGGGUCAUACUGGGCCAUACUGGGAGAGGACCGGUCCAUACUGGGUUAUACUGGCCCAUAUUGGUCCAUACUGGUCCAUACUGGGAGAGGACCGGUCCAUACUGGGUUAUACUGGCCCAUAUUGGUCCAUACUGGUCCAUACUGGGNUGGCCCAUAUUGGUCCAUACUGGUCCAUACUGGGAGAGGACCGGUCCAUACUGGGUUAUACUGGCCCAUAUUGGUCCAUACUGGUCCAUACUGGGCCAUACUGGACUAUUCUGGGCCAUACUGGGAGGGGACUGGGCCAUACUGGUCCAUACUGGGUUAUACUUGGCCAUCCUGGUCCAUACUGGUCCAUACUGGGUUAUACUGGUCCAUACUGGUCCAUACAGGUCCAUACUGGGCUAUACUGGUCCAUACUGGGUUAUACUGGUCCAUACUGUUCCACACUGGUUCAUACUAGUCCAUCCUGGGUUAUACUGGGAGCACUGAGUUAUACUGGGUCAUACUGGGCCAUACUGGGAGGGGACUGGUCCAUACUGGUCCAUACUGGGUUAUACUUGGCCAUACUGGUCCAUACUGGUCCAUUCUGGGCCAUACUGGUCCAUACUGGGUUAUACUGGUCCAUACUGGGCCAUACUGGGAGGCACUGA
rnacentral:lncRNA from 1 species